rnacentral:rRNA from 1 species
UACGUAGGUGGCAGGCGUUGUUCGGAAUGACUGGGCGUAAAGGGCGUGUAGGUGGACUGAUCAGUCGGGUGUGAAAUAUCCAGGCUCAACCUGGAGGGUGCAUCCGAUACGGUCAGUCUUGAGUGCAGGAGAGGGCAGUGGAAUUCCCAGUGUAGCGGUGAAAUGCGUAGAUAUUGGGAGGAACACCAGUGGCGAAGGCGGCUGCCUGGACUGUAACUGACACUGAGGCGCGAAAGCGUGGGGAGCAAACAGGA